GUCAUGAGCCUGGUCAUACAAAAUGCACGUGUUGGGAACUUUAGAGCCAAUACCAGCAAUUCAGAUGGCAAAAGUGGCAAUUAGGGAUUCUACAGUAGCAUUAUCUUCUACGAAAUAUACUUUAGUUUCUUUAAUUGAGUUUGUAUAGUUCUCUUAGUAUUAGACAUCAUUAAAAUCCACCAAUUCCUUUGUGACUAUUAUCAUUGAGUUAGGUAAACCCACCACAUUGAUGUGGAGCUUGUCUUAAGAAACAAGGAAAGCAUG
rnacentral:misc_RNA from 1 species